UACCGGCGGCUCGAGUGGUGGCCGCUUUUACUGGGCUUAAAGGGUCCGUAGCUGGAUUCACGGGUCCCUUGAGAAAUCUAUCGGCUUAACUGAUAGGCGUUCAGGGGAAACUGUGGUUCUAGGGACCGGGAGAGGUGAGAGGUACUGCCGGGGUAGGAGUGAAAUCCUGUAAUCCCGGUGGGACGACCUAUGGCGAAGGCAUCUCACCAGAACGGCUCCGACAGUGAGGGACGAAAGCUGGGGGAGCAAA
rnacentral:rRNA from 1 species